rnacentral:misc_RNA from 1 species
CCUCCACUGGCUCACAUGCUUCAUCACUGCUACCGUCACCACCUCCCCCCCCCCUACUCCUCCUCAUCCCCUUUUGUUUCGUUCUCGAGGUUGCCGGCACGCACAAAUGUAUAUUCACAGCCAAACAAAAAAAAGAGAAAAACGUUCUGAUCCACAUCUAUGUGCACGAACAGCAAACGACAAUCCAACCACUCCAGCUAGUAUUGUUAUCAUAUAUAUUUAUUUAUGAGCAGGCUCCCCCUCUCCCUCUCUCUCUCGCUUUCUAUAUUGUGAAUGUUGCGCCUCAUCUCACCGCGACAAAGGCUUAUACCCGUGUAUGUGUGUGUGUUUGCACCUAGGUCGACGCUUCUCUCUCGCGCUAACACGAAACGCUGCUCUGCCCCUUCAUCGCCUUCCCUACCGUUUACCAACACAGCGCUAGGCGUGUACGAUCAGUGCUGUGCCUGUUUGUGUGCGUGUGUUUCUUUCUUCUUGUCGCUCUUGGCAGUUCUUGCUGCUGGCCCCUGCGGAAAGGGUUGCCCACGUCGCAUGGAGAAGGGCGAGCGACAGGCGUAGCGCUCAUUGCUGAGUUUUAUAGCGCCCUCGCCCCUUGAUUUCCGACUUUUCUUCCGGUGUUUUGGGUAACUGUGUGUGUGUGUGUGUGUCCGUCGGCGUUGAGGUUCUUGUAGCCGUCAGAGGCGUGACGUUGAAAGGAGCGUACUGAGACGGCGACGAGCCCCCGCUAUCCAUGUGUGGCGGCGCUAUCCUGCUUGCGUAAGUCUGUUUUCUCGUCUCCGGCUUCUUGACAGGCUUUGCUCUGUUUUCGCGUGCGUGUUGGUGUGCGAAACACUUCUUGUAAUUCGGCUUUCCGUCAGCGUACUUGUCACCACUACCCCUCCGCCUUCCUUUCUAGCCCUCUCUCGCUCCGCGACUGUGUGUCUCCUUUCUUCCGCUCUACCGAACGGUAUAGACGUUCGUAUUGGCUCGCUGCUUCUCCAGUCCAACCAGAGGUGGUACUUGAGUGUCUGUGGGCUAAUGUGCAGCGGUGCGGGCUUCACCUCUCGCCCCUUCCACUCCCUCCCUCUUUUCUCUGCAGUCGUGCUCCUCUUGUGUGGCGGUGUGCACUUCAUCCCACUUUGCGUCGACGUUCACGAAGUUUUGGUUUGUCUUUUUUUCCCUCCGAUCGUACUUGCCGUCGCCCUCUCUUGUGACCCAGCGCCCCUCUCUCUCCCUUCGUGUGUGCGUGCAUGCGAAUUCGCGUUUUCUUUCUGCUGUUCCUAUCUCGUUGUGCUGUCUCUCUCUCUCUCGUUGCAUUGCUGGCCGCUGCCUCGCGUCGCUCGGUUUCGACGCCGCCGCCCCACCUCCCCCUUCUUCUCUCUGUCGCCACGUUCGCGGCGACCAACGUGGUGGCAUCUUUUUUCUUUCUUUUUCCGCUGUUGUCUGUACUGUUGUGGUGAUUUCGCUUUAGUUUGUUGUUUCCGCUCUGUGUCGUUUUGUUCUGUUUUUGUUUGGCCCUUCACUGCUGAGCGCAAUAGGCCGACACACGCGUGUGUCCACUCGCGGUCUGCCACCGCUUCUCUCCUCCUCGUCUGCUCGUGUGUGUAGGGGGGAGGGAGGGAGGGAGGAAGGGUCCUCUCCGCGGUUCGUACCACAGCUGUCAAAUUCCACAUACCCUACGGCACGCAUCUUUUUUUUGUCGCAUCAUUAUUUGAGGGGGGCGGACGAAAGCGUCGCUUCAGUCAACCUGACGACUCACCACCACCACCCCAGCCACACAGCCGCCACACAGCGCAGCAAUUGUGGUCAUCCCUCAUUCGGAGUAUCACUCGGACAGCUGUGUUUAUGUGUGUGUGUGUGUGUGUGUGUGCGGGCAGAGCUAUAGUCACGCUAAAAGCGUUCACGUACAGUCUGGCACAAGGAUCGAGGAAGAGAUCGUCCGCGGCACCGAACGGACGAGCGAAGAGGCAGAGCGAAAGAAAGAGGAGGAGGAGGGGGAGGGCCACACAAGACGUAAAAGAAACAGAAAGCGCGCGUGCGUUCAAGCAGGGCUUCUCGUUCUUUCUCUGCUCUGUCCGCUUUUUACAUCACCCAGCCCAUCCUUCUCCUAUCGUCGUUUUUCUUUGCAGCUUACCAUGCAGUCCCUCACGGAGCGUGACUUCGGCCUUGUGGAGAAGCUGUUCAAUGUUAUCCGCACUCUGCUCGAGUACGACAAGGUGCACAGGCGCCAUGAGCGAUCUGCAGCCGCUAUGCCGGCCGCCUCUAGUGACUCUGCAAUUGCAACGAUGAUGGCCCCCUCAGCCGUGCUCCGCGAGCACCAAAACCAACAAGGAGCUGGCGGCGCUGCCGCACCGCUGCCGGCAGCCAGUGCCGUCGGCGCCAGCACUGGCAUGUUAGAGAGGCGAAUGUGGACAGAGCUCGCGUUUCUAAUGAGUCGUGUCGUCAUUUCACAGAAGCUGUUUCUCAUGUCGCACGUCACAAGCGACCCAGGCCUGAUGUUGACGGAGCUGGCGCGCAUGCUUCUGGCCUUCUUGCAUGAAAGCUGCGCCGCCGUCGCAGAGAGCGGGAAGGCGGCCAGGAUGCGCCACGUCGCCCUGCUCGCACAGGAUCGCCUGAUCUUCCUUCUCCGAGUCUUCUGCUCUCUCAAGUACUGCACUGCUAUGCUUGGCGACACGCUCGACUGCGACAAUGCCGGCGCGGCGCUGAAGGUGUACGACGCGAUCUGCGACCAGGUCGUCUCUGGCCAACAUUUAGCCUGGAUGUCGCAGAUCUAUGUUUGGUUCUGUGACGAGGCAGCGCGGCUAGCCCGCACCGGAGGUGCGAUCCCCAGCGCCUAUGUUCACGCCACUCACGACGCACUGCGUUGCAUCUUAGGCUGCUGCACUGAUCACGAGGGCUGUGCAAAGGCGUUUCUUUACUCGGAGCCGGUGGCAUGCGUCGCGCACAUGUUCUACGGACUCAAGCUGCGCAUCUCAGUAGGUGAUCUUCUACGGCCGUAUGAGGACGAGCACCCCAUCGUGGAGGACGCCAAAGGCACUGCCGCUGGCGCUUCUGCACGGCAGGCAAGUGCUACAAUCACAAUCAGCAAUAGCAGCAGCGACGGCAACUCUCUCGGAGUUACCGCCCGUGAUGAGCUGGAACGAACCGUGAUGCCGGCGGGCCCGAUCCCACAGCGGCCGCCUGGCGCAGGCCAUCUCAAAACACGCUACUUCACCGCACUCACGGCUUCGUUUACACGGCAGCAGCAGCAGCAGCAGAUGCCGAGAGUGAGCACAAGCGACUCUGCAAGCAGCGCCACUGUCGCCUCGCUGGUGUGUCCCACUAACUCUUCUACCGCAGCUAGCAUCGUGAGCACGUCGUGGGCGUUUGAUCUACCAGAGCUGUCGCGGCCACAGCUAAAGACGCUCCUGCUGGGUGGGCGUGAGAACGCCUUUGAUUCGCUUCUCUUCGCCGCCCUUGACAUCGUCAUCGAGGUUAUGCGCGUGACACGGGACUACGGGCACUGGAUGGUGCUCUCCACCGUCAGCAAUCUGCUGCUUCUCAGCAAGAAAAGCAUCGAGGUCCGCGAUGCGGCGGCGGCAUUAACGUUGGGGUCCAGCUCUGCGAGCGCCUCGGAGGCGUCGCCACCGCUGUCGCGGGUAGUGGCAAUGUAUGAAAACAUCGUGGUGCUAUUCCAGCUGCUGUUCUCACUGAUGGAAGGGACUGGCUUUGAAAAGCGGGCGCGAUCCGCGUUGAACGCCGCUUCCGCGCCUGCGACUGCAAUUCACAGCGGGACUGAGAAAGAGGCAAAAAAAGGGAACGAGAAGGGCCCUCCACCGCCCCCAGGCUCAUCCUUGCUGCGCGGCGGACCGUCGCCGUCCACGCAGCCCUGCGAAGCACGCAUCUCUACCACAGCUACGGGUGAGAUGGGCCAGCCUCCGGCCACUGCGACGGUGGAGAACAGCGGCGAGGUCGACGCAGUGGACACUGCGCAGGCGCGGGAGUACAUAGCACAACAGAUAGUGCACAUGGUUCUGCAGACUGACGUGCAGGCGGUGUUCGCGGCGACGACGCGUGUGCUGGAAUGCGACCGGACGCUUUUUCGUGUAUUGCACUCCUUCUGUAUGCUUGACGCGCGAUCAGCUGAGAAAGCAAUGCCCGGAAAAAGGCGCCGCGACCGCAGCUCUGGCGCUGCGGCGACUGGUGCUAAUCGAAGGCGCAAUCUCAGCGCACCCAAGGCGGCGGACACGACCGCGCUCUACCGAGGCAGCAGCGCUGACAACAUGGGGAACGCACUCCACAACCCACUCGUAUCGCCGACUGGCGCAGCAGUGACAGGUGGCCGCAUCUGCGAGGGUGGGAGUGUGUGUGAGCCAGUGUUCGACGCCGGCUACAGAUUCUUCGUCACCUCGAACUUUGGAGACCUGCGCACCAUCGCAAACGAUGUGGGAUGCAGCAGAACUCUUGAUGGCGGCCUGGCUGAGAACUCCGACAGCCGUAGCUCCUCUCGCAUCGGUAUGGGAACCUUCAGCGUCCGCGGAAGCGGGAUGGGCGACUCCGGCACCAUCGCCCCAUUCUGUGCGGAGCCGCUUCUCGGCAGCGUCUUCUCGACCCCGCAGCGGCACGGCCAGCGACUCACGAAUCUGCAGCGCCAUCGGCGGAGCGAAGACAGCGGCGGCAGCAAGAAAACAGUGGCCGGUGUCGGCGGGAGCUUUGCCAAAGCCCUCUUGAAGUCCUUCUUUGGAAAUCGAACUGCAGGCAGCGGCGCUGUCGCCCUCAAACGCGGCGUCGCGCAUGAAGGCAGCGACGACAACGCGGAGCGGGGCUCGUGGAGCGGCUCGUCGAGGUCCUCCUCCGGCUCCUCGUGCGUCGAGAGCAAAGAGAGCGGCGGUGGCAGCCGCAGCGACAGCGGCGCCAGCGACGACAGCGAUCUUCUCAGCACUGCGAGGGAGCUGCUCCACGGCAGUGUCGCUGGCUCACUACUCCCGACGCGCAGCUUUGGCGUGAGUGGCAGCCACUCUGCAGCAUGGCAACGUGACAACGACAGCCGCCGUGCACUGCAAGGCGGCACCGAACAUCGUCAUCACCGACGCAAGCGUAGAACGCAGCCAGCAUACUCGGCGUGGCGUGACGUGCCGUCGUACACGGCUCUUGCGAGAGAACUCGUUCGCAUUUUCAACCUCGUGCUGGCAGACGCCGAGUUGAGUGUAGACGUCCGUCUCGGUGCCGGACUGCUCCUCCCAAGCAUUGCACUGCGUGACAUCCACGUUUUUCGCCUCUACGAGGGUCGCGUACUCAUUCGCAGCUACUUGAACCUGCUCCUGCACGAGCUGCAUUACAACAUCAAGCUGCGCGGUGUGUCGGCGACUGCGGCGGCAGAUCGCGAAGGCCUGCCGUGCGCAUACGUUGACGGCGUGCAGGAGCAGCCGCAGAGCGUGUCAGACAUCGCUGAGACGACCGCGUCGCCGCCACUGCAGCGUGCGCAGAUGAGUAGCAGCAGCAGCAGCAUGAUGGGCGGCCGUGCGCACCUGACGCAGCGGGAGCUCAUCGCCUUUGCUCCGAAGGUUAUCAAGACGCUUGAGCAGGCCUUCAAAGUGCUCGGUGUAAUACCGCUGACGAGCGACGUGGCCUCGCUAACGGAGCUGCCGCUCUACUUUUACUGCGCCGACGGCGUUGCCCCGCUCGGCGUCGCCCUCGAGUGCUCCUUCACACGCGUUGUUGUCCUGUGGCUCAUCGGCCUUGUUGGCGCGCAGUGUGACGAAGACAUCGACCGGCACGCAAUGGAGGUGCUGCUGCACAUCAUGAGCCGCGCUGUGGCCCGGGGAUCGCUACCGAAGGACAGCAGCACGACACUCAUGGUAACUCCCUUCGGUGCCGCCUCGGUGGUUCAAAGCAGCAACGCCGCUGGCGUCGCAGUGCCGGGCGGCCCGACGGUGGCCGCAACACGACUCUCUGCGGAGUGGGCUAAUGCUCGCAGUAAUGCACGGCUUGCCGCGGACGACAGCGCCGCUGGAGUGAUACCCUCGUCAUUUGCGGCGCCGUCGACCACGAACAGCACGCGCUUCGCAGCGGCAGCAACGGAGUCGGGAGUGUCGACAGCCCCAGCAAGGUCUAUGCGACGUGCCGGCUCACAGCUGCAGAACAGCGGCAUCGGUCUCGACGCCGCCGAGACGGACCUGUACGGUUGCCCUUUCAGCAAGUCCUUCUUGGGCUCAACCGAGUUCGGUGGUACCACGACCGCAUUAAGCAUCGAGGGCGGCUUGGGGGACUGCGGCAGCACCGUCGAGGCGCUCAGCUCUGUGUUUCGAGUGCUGCUCGGCCGCUCGCAAGACUUGCUUUCCCCUGCCGGGCUGGCCACAGUGCUCUCCCUCUUCACGAGUCACGACAGCAACCUCUCGCGACUCGGCCGCGAGUGCAUGAUACGCUCCCUGGAGAUUCCAUCGGUGUACCCGUUGUACGCUGACGUGAUUCUGGACAGCGAUACCUUCCUACUCACACAGACGCUUUCAAUGCUAUCGACGUACUUGACCUCGGCAGCGCUGACGCCGGUAACUCGGCGAGAGAGGCGGCUGUGGAUGCAGCGCUGCGGCUGUGUCGAUGCGGUCAUACGCGUACUCGUGCGCGUGCUUGACUCACCUCAGUCGACGAACUUUAUGAAGGUGAUACCGCACCUCUUUCAGUUUCUCUCUGCUUUCGAGUCGGGAGACUGUAAGCCGGCACAGCUGUCGAGCACGAACUUCAUCGCGAGCGUCGCGGAGCGGCUGGAGAAGUUGGAGGGCAUGGAGUACUUCAUCAUCGUCACCCAGGCGGUGCUGGAUGCCUCCAUGGGCACCUACGGCAGUGUCGAUGACGGCUACGCGAGCACAGGCGGCCCCGGAGCACACUACACAGAGGUGCAGGUCAUUGGCAGCUUCCGCGUCGCCCUCUACAACUGUGCGGCCGAAAAGCCCAUCUUCCUGGAGUUGCUUCCGUCGCUUCUGACCUUUGCCAAGGGCCACAGCGACAAGCUCUUCACAAACCUUGCCGAGGUCCUCCUCCGCAUUCUGGAGUGUACGAGCAUUGUUCGCUCCGAGCGGCUUGCCGACUUCGCUCUUGAUCAUGGGCUCUCUCAAAUGCUUCCCUACCUGGAGCUGUCGGGACGCCACGUGGAGGAGCGACUGCCCUUCACCGGCACCGCAGCGGACCUGCAUCGAUUCUGGCAACCAAUCUUGCUACGCGCGCCGCGCCGCAGCAGGCUCCGUUUCACGUCGCACGGCGGCGUGCAGGUAAACGUGGGGUUGUGGCCGGACACGGGAUUCACCAUUUCAGCCUGGUUCAAGUUUGACCGGCUGUACCUCACAAUGCCGUUGUUCGAGUUUCAUGGCGUCCUCAGCGAUGGCAGCGGCGCAGUGGCGCCGCUGCGCGGCUCGAGCAUGACCGCCUCCCUCUUUGUUUUUGGUGGGGACAGCAUGCAGCUGACCAUCAACGAUGGACGGCGCGUCACGAUCAACGAGAACCAGGCGCUGCAGAACUUCGGCCCGCAGACGUGGGUGAACGUCUGUGCCGUCCUGCGCACGACGCACGUCUUGGAUGUCUACGUCAGCGGUUUCAAGGCAGGCACGACAGCGUUCCCAUACUUCGCCGCAGGCGCGGAGGUGCGCGUGAACGUCGGCUGCACGGAUGACGUGACCCACUACGUCACGUCGCUGGGCACUGACGCUUCGCCGCUCUUUUCGAUGGGCGACAUUGCGCUCUGGGCGCAGUCACUGAGCCGAUCGCAGGUGGAAGCGGAGCUCGCGAGCGGUGAUGGCACUCAGGGCGCGGCAAUGAGUGGUCGAUGCCCGGGCGCUUUUCCUGCCAAGAUAUUGAAGGAGGGCAUCCCUCGAGAAAUCACGCUGCUUCGCCACAUGGGCGUUGGCGGCGGCGGCCCACUGCCCGGCUCCGUCGGCAGCACGCUCAAUCUAAGCGUCGGUGGGCUAGGAACGCUGAUGAACCCGAAGUCGCAGUCCACCGGCCCCAGCGGCGUGGCUGGACUCUCGCCUGAAACGGUCAACAGCAUCACCGCAGGUGUGAGUAGCGACUUCGAGGACGACAAGGUCGCUGGCUCCGGUGGCGCGUGGUCGGCCUCUGCCGCGCGCAUGGCCCGGUUUGUGCCAUUCGAGAACGAGGACGACAUGCUGCGGAAUGUGCUGGCACACCCAACCGGCUUCCCGGUAAUCGCGAAGCUCGUUGGCCGCUACGCGACCCCGCCGAAAACGUGGGUGGACUACCCGUUACUGUGGGCGACCCGCGGCGGGAUUGUGCGUAUGUUGGACUGGAUGCACCUUGUCACAUCCUCGGCGCAGCUGGAGGGCCUCCUGAAACUCAUUCUAGAGUGCGUGCGGCGCACCACGCUCGCGGUCACGCUCGACCCACGCACGUACGUGCUCUUGGCCCACAUCCUGACGAAUGACGUUGCCCGCUACAUGACGAAAACCGCAUGUGACCAGCUCCUCGAGCUCGCUUCCGCGCACAUCAACAUCUUCGACGAAGAGCAUCGUGUGGUCAUCAACCGGCUUGUCUUUGAGCACAUCCUGAGCGACGUCGGCCUCUACGCUGCGCUGCGGCUAGACGCGGCGCUGCACCUUUUGCAGCGUGUGCGGCGCCUCUUUCACACGUCGCAGUGUCGCUACGCGAAGCACAACGCGCGCUUUGUGUCGCCGUAUCGCUUCAUCGAUCGGCUACUGCACAGCCUCAUCGGGGUGUCCGCGCGAACAUCGUUGCUGCUGCGCCGCGCCGUGGUCCACGUAGCCCAACAAGUUGUUGCGGCAUGUGACAUGGAGGAUGGGCUGGUGCAGAUAUUUAUCUCCCUCAUCGCCUUGCUGACGCCGGAGGAGAUGACGGUGAGAAGUCGGCGCAACACGCAGGUAAAGGUCGAGCUGCCGGCAAUGUGGUCCCUUACUCGCGGCACAGAGAUUCCGCUGCGCACGGCAAAUCACUUGACUACGCUGCUGCUGUCGAGCUUGGUGGAGUGCUCCUCGCAAAGCCCCUGCGUCUCGGCGUUGUCGCGCACGAUCGACCUGCCGUGGUACGCGACGUGUACGUCGCGCUUUGCCGACCCGGCCGCGGUGGUCUACGCGACGCGCAUCUUCUUCGAGGCCGUCCAGCACAACCCGGCGCUGCAGGAGGAGGUCGCACAGCAUCAGUCCGCUGUCGUGGAAGUGCUGACGGAGCACGCGGUGCACGAAGACCUCAUUCUGCUGCUGCUCGCGCUCACAGUGGGUGCCACUCGCCACAUCGACGUCCUUUCUAGCAAGCACUCACUGCGGCAGCAGCUGGACAGUCUGCUGAGCACCUUCAGCCCUGAACCAAACGCGCUCGUUGCACCUAUUUUUGUGCAACUCCUCGUUAUUCACCUUCACCGUAUUGUGCAGUCGCCGUGGCGGCAUCUAAUGAAGGCACAAGCGGUGCUGCAGGACGCGCAGAGGCUCUCGUACCGCGUGCGGCGCUACUUUAGCCUGGUGCGCGUGUGUAGUCGGCUCAUGAUCCUCAUCAGGGUACGCCGAUACCGCGCACUCCUGAACGGCAACCGCUUCCCUGAAGCCGGCGCCUACUCCGUCGAAACACCGACUCUCAGCCCUGCUCACCACCCGCAGUGGCGGAGUAGUGGAGCCAUGAGCAGCAGCAGCCAGAACGUGAGCUUCGCGUGCAACAGCGGAGCGGGGGUCACCACUGGCGUCGCCGGCGCUGGAGGACUGGCAAACGGGUCCUUCGUCUCCGGCUGCCACAGUCGCGCGCCGCCAGAUCCCUUGUCGACCAGUCCGGUCAGUGUUGGCGCCACGAUCGGCGUGUGCAGUGGCGAGGACGAUUGUGCGGCGACUAGUGUAGCGUUACCAACGCCUCGGUCGCAGUCGCUACGUGACGCGCGCGAGUUUGGGUGCAGCAACACUGGUGGUUGUGGCAGUGGCGACUGCAGAGAGGAGACUAAUCUGCGGCUGGAUCGAACACCCUUCGACGAUAUUGUAGGCCUUCCCCGUCCUGUGAUGCUGCCUACCCCCGUGCUCAAUAUCCGCGGCGAUGACCACAGCAGCAGCAGCGCCGGUGGCUCUGGCGACGCUUCCCAGUGGAAACCCCCGGUGCUACUGCCAGAAAUGUGGGCCGGUCUUCCACGUUCGCUGCCCCCUACGACAGCAGGGAUGUCGGCACCUUCGGCAUCGAAGGCGUCAGCAACGGCAGCCGCUCACGGGCUUACCGCCGCAGCAUCGUCGUCGACGAGCGCAGUGGCCGGAAGCGGCGCCGAUGAUGUUCCUGGGCGAACGUGCCAGCUCCCCGCCGCAGACGUCGUAUCCCCGGUGAGUGUGUACCCGAUGCAGCAACACCUACGCUUAGCGGCACGUGGCGCCGACAACUCCAGUUGUGGCGAUGGCGCGGCGGCCGCCGUGAAAGUAGUCAGCGCUCAUUUGAAGGAGAGGCCUGCAUUACGCGUGCACUCGCGCAAGCACCGGCGCGCUUUUUCAGUGCUUCACGUUUCUGUGUUGCUCUGGCUGCCACUGCAGGUGAAGCGGUGUCGAUGGAUGUCCAAACCUCACUCACUUCCGUACGAGGCGGACUUGAGCCGUCGUCACGCCGGGACGCUGUUCUGCAUCCGCAUGUUGCACCAUUUUGCGUCCAUGUCGAACUACUUUUAUCUGCUCGUGAAUUCACCGAUGCAGACGGCGGCGCUUAGCUCGCUGGUGGCGUACAUCUCGCGCGCCAUGCUGCUGGAGCAGCUUGACAUGUGGGAUCAGAUGGUCCGCUCGAUGGUGGUUGCGCCAGCGCGAGAGCCUGCGGUGGUGACGGCGACGGCGGCGGCAGCGGCUGAAGCUACGGCGACAACGGCCGCAGACGAGCCUCAGCCGCCGCCGCCGAAGCAGCAGCAGCAGGAGCAGGAGAAGGAGACACCCGUGCCACCGGCUGCGAGGCAACCAGCGGUCGACGGCAUCGAGUCUGCGGAAGACACGGACGGGGAUUGGGAGGGGGUGGAGGCGGUGCCGGGUGACUACACGGGCUCAGCUGUGCUCGAUGCAGCACGGCGCGUGUCGAGCACUGGCCCGGCAAUGGCCAAUGCGACAAAGCCGAUGGCGCUUUAUCACAGCCCGAGCAGCAACAGCAGCGCGGAUGCCGGCAGCGUCGGCCGAGGCCGUGCACAAAAAAGCGAUGAGCUUGAGCUAGCACCCGCACUGCCGCUGUCAAGCCUGCCAGAGAGAGUGCUGCAACGCCUUACCCGCCCCAGCUCCAUGACGUUCCGCAGUGCAGGAUCGUCAUCGGCGCAGCUGGACAAGAUGACGGUAUUGGAGUCACCGCAUCCCAGCUUAACGCUCCGCAGCGAGGAGCUGGACGACGCGGACGUGGAGAGCGCCCCAGCCCAGCGCCGGUGUCGCGCUACCGUCGAGGAUGGCGACGCGAGCAGUGUUACGAACGAUUCCUUUGACGUCGUGGGUCUGCCGCUCGUCACGUCGACUCAUGAGCAGCCGAAGCACCACAAGGAGCUGCAGCUGCCGUCCCAGUCACUGCAGCGGCGCGGGAGGGCGUUGCCGCAGCACACAUACACGGAAACCCAGGCUGAUGAGAUCGGCAGUAGCGCCACCGCGGGAUCUGCAGCAAGCGCCAGAGGGAUAACACCGACAGCGGCGCCAACGGCAACUGCUGCGGCAGUGGGGCCGGAUGCUUCAAACACGGCCUCGGUGGUGAAACCAGACGCGACUGGCAACUGUGACGACGAUGAUGACACCUCCUCUGUGUCGUCUGCGGCAGCCUCGUUGUCUAGCCACAGCUCCACGCUGUCGUCUAGCUUGGCUCCGACGUCGGCCUCGUCGACGCUGCCCUCCACUGCCUCGGACGCGAAGAAGGCGGUCUCCCCCCCGCUCGUGUCUUUCUCGAAUCUGCCGGGCGUGCCUGCCCCCCUGCGCGGUCACGGCCUCUCCGAUGUGUACGCCAUGAGCAUCGCAAGUAUCAUCGAGUCUGUGGGUGAAGUGGUGCGCCGCGACGCUGUUAGCAUCCUUCGCGCCUUGAUCCGGUCUUCCCUCGACACGCUGCCAAUGCCGAACUGGAUCGGCGGCCCCACCUACGGCUCGUGCGGCGGGCUUCUCUUUCAGCUCCUCUUUAUCGUCUCUGCCAAGGCAGCUGCUGCUGGCGACUCGGCGACAACACUCGUGCGCUACUUUUUGCUGUGCGUCGGCAAUGCGGUCAAGGAGCAGAGAGACCGGGAUCUCAUGCAGGCCCCAAACCACGAUCAGGCACUUUCAUCGUUGAAGGGGGAUGUCUCCGCCAAGGCACCGAUGACCGGGCUCGGCGGAUCGCCGCUUGGCGCAUUAACGGCGGGCAGGCAUGCACCGAGCAGCAAUGCAUCGCCGCUGCUUCUGGGGCGCCGGACCUCGACUUUCUCAGAAGCUUCCGGGUCGACCACCGCUGCCGGCGCAGGGGCGGCGAUGCCUGGCAACGCCGGGGGGCUUUCCGCCAACGUGCCUUUAGCAUCUGCCGCCGUCUUCGUGGCAGGCGUGCCGCCAUCUACGGUCUCCUCCUUCAUGGCCGGACGCUCUCUUCCCAUCAGCGCUGUUGGUAUUGGAGGCAGUGACGAUGGAGGUGGGUGUUCUUCACAGCACGGUGGCGCACCUUUGUCACCGACGGUGCCGGCGCAGACGCACGUUUCGACGAACUCAGCUGCGUCGCCGGCGCGGCACCAUGCACCACUGCCGCAGAGCUUCCACGUCGCUAUGAGUGCGGGGCCUGGCAACGCGCAGCAUCAAAGUAGAAGCAGCAGCGCGACCACGGCUACCGGUGCCUACUCAGACGUGUUUCUGUUCAACGUAAGCCAUUUCACAGACUUGAUUGUGGACAUGCUCGCUAUCAAUGUGCUGGAUCUCCCGAUGACGACGCACUUCUUCCUGACCCUGCUCGUGCUGUGCCAGGGGUGGCCAAACCGGUACGUGGAUCAGCUCAGCUGGCAGGUGAUGCGGGCGUGCAUCGCGGUUUUGAAUCGGCCAUCAACGCAGGACGCCAGCGUCAGCCUUAUCGAGAGCGUCUACACGCUGUCGACCCUGGUGCUGCGUCGCGGGUGGAAGCACAAGGGGGUCUUGGAGUCGCUGCUGCGGGUGCUGUACCGCGUCUUUGUGUCGCUCCCACCAGCAUGGAUGCCGGACGCCGACGCGCGCCACCGCAAGCGUCUCAUUACGCUCAUCUUUCGCCACCUUGUGCAAACCUACGCCGGCACGAAGGAGCUGGAGAAGGCGCUGACGGUACGCACGCUGACGCAGCGCCUGUCUCUCUACGACGACUUCCGCAUGGUCUUCUCUCUGAGCAACGAGGACGAGUGUUGUGCGACCUUUGAGCAGUACUGCAUCGACCAGUUCUCCUCCAUCGACACACUCAUGUCGAGCCGCCUGAAAGCCAAGGCAGACCUUGCCUUCAAAGCCAGCAUCAAGACACGCAGCGAGUACAUCAAGCGCAUCAAGACUUUCAACGGCCAGUACAGGCAGGCCAUGGAGGUGACGGAGCGCUAUCGGCGCGCUGCGCUGCGUGUGGCUUACACGUCCCGCUUCUCCUCCUUUGUGUCCACGACGCCGCACGUAGACUCUUCGCAGUUGCAUUGGCUGCUUUCCUCCACUUGCGCGCUGCCCGAGAACCACACGCUGUCGCACGCGACGCAGUGGCGCAAGUUGGUGACAACGAGUGGGACGGCGGCCGACAGCAGUGCGGUUGCCGGGACGGCCACCAGCCGAAUCAACGCCAGUGACGGUGCGGAGCACACGCUUUACCACUUCAUGGAUCCGCAGAUGAACUAUGGAGCGCUGAAGGGUGUGCGAUGGGGCGGAAGGCGCGCUUCGCAGACGCCCAAAGCAAAGGCGGCAGCGAAAGCGGCGACGGCAUGUGGCACACCCGGCCACAUCGGCGGUAGCGACGCCAGCAGAAUUAAUGUAGCGGAGGAGACGGCUGAGGGCUCGAUGAGCGCUCAUAGCGCGUUGACUCGGAUCAAGAUGGCUGGCAAGGGAGCGGGAGCGGAAGUAGCAACGGCAACGGAAGAGCAUCCGCCGAAGAACGACUUGGUUCAUGCAGCGCAAUGCGAGGAGCUCGUCCAGCACAUCGCAGUGCUGGUGCCGCCCCUCAGCACCCACUGUCGCCCGUACAUCGGCGAUGAGGCCUUCCCUGCGGCGCUGAAGGAACUACCGAUCCCGCUCACACCGUCCGCGAUAACGCUGCUGCGCUACUUGGUGGCACCGCACGAGACGGUGCGCUUUCUCAGUAAUGGCUUCCGCAUCAACGGUAUCCACACCACUCCAUGUCUCAUCCUGCUUACGAAUGUGACCCUGAAGGUGAUUGGCUUUUCACGCGUGACGGAGGCCGGAGACAUCAUCCUGUGCGAGAACGAAGUCGACGACGACGAUGCGCACAGCCGCGGCGCGGCUAGCGAGUCGAGCAUCAACACCAACAGCACUCUUCGCCACCAGCAUGAUGUCGGCAGCCUUUUCGAUGACAACAAGGGGUCCCUGGCCAAGUCGACGCGCCGGAAUCCAUUCAGCGUGGCGUCGAUGACAAGGCAACUGCAGAAGCUGUUUUCUGACAAGUCGGCGAAGCGCCGUCAACAGCAAGACGGCACACGCGUUGCACAGGCGGUGCGGCAGGUGAUGGGCUGCAACUACCAGAACAUCUACUGGACCUACCUGGUCAGCUCUAUCCGCGCGGUGCGCUCGCUGCACUACAUGCACCUCGACACUGCUGUGCAACUGCAGCUCUACUAUGACAACGGCCCAAUGCUGUCGGUGGUGGACGCGACGCAGUCAAUGAACCCGUCUGCGAGGAAGGAGUUUAUCAAGGUGCUGAAAGACGUCGUGGGUACCCAGCAGUGCACCUUCAUGGACGAAAGCCAGCGAGCGGCGAGCAUGAGGGCGCACCUGGUUCGGUGGGCGACGGGGUCGCUUUCGAACUACGAGUACCUUCGCUUCCUGAACGAGGCGGCGGGGCGGACGAACCGCGACCUGAACCAGUACCCUGUCUUUCCGUGGGUGCUGGCCGACUACACGAGCGCCACGCUCGACUUGGAGGCUGCCUCGAGCUUUCGCGACUUUGCAUACCCGAUGGGGGCGCAGACGGAGACACGGCGCGCCACUGUCGCGCGUCUCUUCGAGAACACACACGAGUUGUGCGACGCGGUCACCGGCAAGUCCUACCCGUUCCACCACGGUACUCACUACUCCACCAGCGGUGGCGUGCUCUACUUCCUUAUACGGGUGCAGCCCUUCACGACCUAUGCGCGCCUUUUCCAAGGCGGCGACUUUGACCUCGCUAUGCGGCUGUUCGACUCCGUCGCCGCGUCGUUCACGUCGUGUGUGACAGGGCCGGCGGACUGCAAGGAGCUCAUCCCGGAAUUUUACGUAAACGGCGGAUUCCUGGCCAAUGCAGAUCACCUCAACCUUGGCACCAAGUCAGACGGCCAGGCAGUCGGUGAUGUGCGACUCCCUCCGUGGUCAAAGAACUCACGCCAGGUCUUCACCGCCGUCAUGCGCUACGCGCUGGAGUGCCCCUACGUUGUCGCGCAUCUGCACCAGUGGAUCGACCUCGUCUUCGGUGUGCGUCGGCGUGGCCCGCUCGCGCUGGAGCGGUACAACGUGUUUCAGCGCAUGACGUAUGGCGAGGAGGUGGUGCAGGCGCUGAAAAACGCCGAGACGCCCCACGACUGCGAUGUCAUUAUUGCCGAGGUGGACAACUUCGGUCAGACACCGCUGCAGCUCUUCCAGGAGCGUCACCCCUCCCAUCAAGAGCUGGCACCUGUUGUGAAGGCUGAGACAGCGGACGGCAGCUUCAUGGGCGUUGGCGGCGGCGUUAUGGCAUCUUCAUACAGCCACGGCAGCGGCGGUGGCGGCUCAGCGCCGGCGUGGUCGACCGUAAAUAGCGUCAGCACCGUGGCGCUUGGCGGCCUGUACACCUCGGCCACGGCAGCGGCCGCAUGCGCCGCGGCGACGGCAGGGGCGGGAAGCCAGGUCGGGGUCACCUCCAGUAAUCUCCUCUCCACCGGCUCCUUCGCCAGUGGGCAGACAUACACGCAGGCGUUCUGCCGCGAGGCGCCGAAGGUGGUUUGGAUGCUGAUUCAUGCAAUGGACGAGACCCAGACGUGGUUUGUGCUGCGAGACCCGCCAGGCAGUCUGCUGCAGCACCCACCACCGUCGGCGCUGAAGGACAUGUUCGGCUUUAGCAGCGAAGCCGUGCUACACUUCAGCGUGCUGCGCACCUCCAAGAAGCUCGCGUGCGCGUAUGCCCAGCUUGUGCCCGUGGCGGACACGGACUACUACCUGUGUUGGCAUGAGCAUGAGGCGCAGCUCAUGCGCUACACUACCGGCCAGGCUGCCUUUCACUCCGCCAUCUCUUUUCGUCCGCGAGAUGAGAGCGGCUCCUUGAUCAGUGCUGUCGCCGUUGGCCCGCGUGAGUCUGUCUUGCUUGUUGCCACCAGCAGCGGCGCGGUGUACUGCCUCUUUCCCGACGACACCGGCGAUGGCGCGCUCCACGUGCGCGGGACGCUGUGCUACCACCGUUCACCCGUUACAAAGAUCGCGCUAGACUCGAGGAGGCAUCGCGCCGUCACCAUCACUGACUCUGCCGGCGAUGACGAGCCCAUUCUCUGGCGCGUGCAGCGAAGCGGGUGCUGCUUUGUGUGUCGCCUCCAAGUCGAGCAGCUGCUACCGACGCCAGCACGCCCCUUGAUGUCGCCGACUAGGGAGACGACGGCCGACGCUGCCGAGGCGCGCACCGUCGUGGACGUCGCGAUCGACAGGGUCUCGGGCAACAUGGCACUCGUAACGGCCCGCUCGCUGCUCCUCUUCGACAACAACGGAGAACCGUUUGGCGCGGGCACGUUGCCGUCACCAACGUCCCUCCACCCCGCGGGCACUGCCACGCUCGAAGACGAUAACGGCGACGUUGGCGUGGUGGUCAGCCGUCCUGUUCUCUGCGUGGCCGACAUCACGGCUGUCACCUUCUAUCAAACAAGUGAGUGGGCUGGUGGCAUGGGAGUGCUCCUUACCGGGCACAGGGACGGCAGCCUCUCCGCAUGGCGCACGACGCGGCUGCCGCCGCACUCGGUCGCCCCUGGUAAGAUAGCCAUGGUUGAGUUCCACACCCGGCUUUUCAGCUGCGAAGCGGCGCCGACGGCAGCGGCCACUGGGGCUGGCGUUGCGGGACCGCAGGAUGCGGCGGUGGCGGCUGCCGGUGCCGGGGGCCGUGGCAGUGUAUUCAUGGGCGGCGCGGCGCCCCUCAGCAGCAGCGGCACCAGUGCGGGUGCUCUCGGUACGCCAGCGAUCCCUGCUGGUGCUGGCGCAAGGAGCUGUUCGGUGACGGCGCUGCAUCAAGAAAACGUGGACGUGCCGACCUUCCUGGUCGGCUACGCCAACGGAACUGUGCGGCAGCUUGUGUUUGAGGAUCCCGCUCUAUCCUAUGUGGGCGUUAGCGGCGGUGUCGGUGGCGCUGCAGGCGGAAGCAGCGGCGGCAGCGGGGGCGCUGGGGAUGACCGCAACCAGCGUCGCUGAUGCACAAGAGGGUGCAUGUCCACCCGGCAGCUCGCCGGGGCGAGGGCUUUUAGGGCUGAGAAGAGGCGCACACGGAAUCGCAAAUCGUCAAACCUGCGAACCCGAAAACGGAAGACAUCAGCAGCGCAAGAGGCGUUUGUUGUGGAGGCUCUGUGGCAAACUCGUAUGCUAAGGGGAGGAGGUGCGUGGAUGCUGGACCACACGCGUGUGCGUGUGUCGCUUUCCUUUAGGGGCUGAAACACAGCCCUUUUGGUCCG